UUAGGUGUGUUUAAUGUGUUCUGUUAGUCCUGUUCAUUAGGUGUGUUUAAUGUGUUCUGUUAGUCCUGUUCAUUAGGUGUGUUUAAUGUGUUCUGUUAGUCCUGUUCAUUACAGUAGGUGUGUUUAAUGUGUUCUGUUAGUCCUGUUCAUUAGGUGUGUUUAAUGUGUUCUGUUAGUCCUGUUCAUUAGGUGUGUUUAAUGUGUUCUGUUAGUCCUGUUCAUUAGGUGUGUUUAAUGUGUUCUGUUAGUCCUGUUCAUUAGGUGUGUUUAAUGUGUUCUGUUAGUCCUGUUCAUUAGGUGUGUUUAAUGCGUUCUGUUAGUCCUGUUCAUUACAGUAGGUGUGUUUAAUGUGUUCUGUUAGUCCUGUUCAUUAGGUGUGUUUAAUGCGUUCUGUUAGUCCUGUUCAUUACAGUAGGUGUGUUUAAUGUGUUCUGUUAGUCCUGUUCAUUAGGUGUGUUUAAUGUGUUCUGUUAGUCCUGUUCAUUACAGUAGGUGUGUUUAAUGUGUUCUGUUAGUCCUGUUCAUUAGGUGUGUUUAAUGUGUUCUGUUAGUCCUGUUCAUUAGGUGUGUUUAAUGUGUUCUGUUAGUCCUGUUCAUUACAGUAGGUGUGUUUAAUGUGUUCUGUUAGUCCUGUUCAUUAGGUGUGUUUAAUGUGUUCUGUUAGUCCUGUUCAUUACAGUAGGUGUGUUUAAUGUGUUCUGUUAGUCCUGUUCAUUAGGUGUGUUUAAUGUGUUCUGUUAGUCCUGUUCAUUACAGUAGGUGUGUUUAAUGCAUUCUGUUAGUCCUGUUCAUUAGGUGUGUUUAAUGCGUUCUGUUAGUCCUGUUCAUUACAGUAGAUGUAGACUAUGUUGUGUAGUAAAGUGUGUUUAUACAGUUUAUGUUCUAUUGUGUGAAC